GACGAACGCUGGCGGCGUGCUUAACACAUGCAAGUCAAGGACCGUAGCAAUACGGGGACUGGCGCACGGGUGCGGAACACGUAGGCAAUCUGCCCUCCAGGGGAGAACAACCAGCCGAAAGGUUGGCUAAAUCUCCGUAAAAUCAUAGAGUGGCAUCACUUAUUGAUCAAAGUUUUCUGAAGGAUGAGCCUGCGUCUGAUUAGCUAGUUGGCGGGGUAACGCCCACAAGGCUACGAUCAGUAGCUGGUCUGAGAGGAUGAUCAGCCACAUUGGGACUGAGAUACGGCCCAGACUCCUACGGGAGGCAGCAGUGAGGAAUAUUGCUCAA
rnacentral:rRNA from 1 species